UUGCGGAAGGUUUGGGUUCGAGAGGCCAUGCCGCCUCUGGGAUAGAGAUAGAGGGAGGGAGAGGGAGAGAAAUGAGUAGGGAUCCCUCUCUGAGGGUUUCGCAUUUGGGAGGUCGUGCUUAUGGAGAUAGAGAUAGAUCAUCAUAGAGAUAGAGAUAGGAGAGGGAGAGGGAGAGGGAGAUCAUCCACGAUCCCGGGCGCGGCUCUCCGUUGGCCCGCGUCAGCUUCCGCCAUCCGUUCAGGUACAAGAAGCAGAACGAGCUCUUCGUUGCCGCCGAGGGAAAGAGAUGGGAGUAUUUCUGCGAUUUGCAGAGAGAGAUGGGACAAGGGAGAGAGAGGGAGAUGAAAGGAUUUUCUGCGAGGAUUGAAGGGAACGGGUAUGGGAGUAUGGGUUUACAGGCAACGGUAUGGGCUGCACAGAGAUGAGAGGAUUUCUCCACCACCGCUCUCUCUCCCAACUCUCUCUCUCUCUGAGUGGCUCGAAGAAAAACGAAGAAGACGAAGAGGGAAAUAUACGAUUGCCUAUAGAUCUAAGGUUAGGGUUUCGGAGGGGCAUCUUGAUCUGCGAAAGACGGUGCGUUUUGGGGGAAGAGGAAGAAGAGGAUGGAUUCGGUCCCUUCGAACUCACAUGCGAACCUGGAUGAACAGAUUGCUCAGCUCAUGCAGUGCAAGUCCUUGUCUGAACAAGAGGUUUCUUGGGUAGCUGUGGAACAUCAGAAUACAUCACUCUCAAACACCCACUCUUUGGAACCGACCUUCUAUGCUGGGUUUCUCAAAUGUUAAUUAAUUUGUUCCUUUUAUGGACCAAGAAUGUAAAAGGUAUGGAUCUGGCAAUUUUUUUUUUACGUAUUGAAGAAUACAAAAGGCAUGGUUUUAGCAAGUUGUAUACGAAGACGCAAGACCCAGGGGAGGAAAAGAUAAGGAAAGGUAUUCAUGCAUUAGUGUUUAAUAUUGAUCAAAUAGUGCAUGAAUUGUGUGGCAAGUAUGCUGAGAAGAGAAACACAGAUGGAAUUUGGGGAUGCAAGGAUUGUGGAAAAACUGAAGCUAGCACUGCUAGUUCUUAAACCGUUAAAAGAGCAAAAGAGGAGGAUUUUAGUAAUUAAGGGGACCAAAUUUUGGUGUAAAUGUGUUUUUGG